GCUAAAUUCUUAAGGAUUCUUUGUUUGUUGAAUAGCAUCAAGUAGCAUCUCAAGGAACACCCUUUGGGAAAUGCUGCUGAGAGAAGCUAAGAACUUGCUUCACGAUCGUCAAGCACUGAAAAGGAUUCAUACUUGGGAAACUGGCAAACUGUUUUUCUGACCCUGACCCUUGCCAGUAGUAUAAUCAUGGGCAAGUCACUUGAUUUCUUCACAUGUAAAACAAAAUGAUAAUAUAUCCUCCAUGGACAGCCAUAGAGAGAAGAUUCAUUACAAAAUGCAUUUACGGUAGGAACAGAAGUUGACAAUAAAAGUUAAUAUUGUCACA
ensembl:lncRNA novel transcript